UACGUAGGGUGCAAGCGUUAAUCGGAAUUACUGGGCGUAAAGCGUGCGCAGGCGGUGAUGUAAGACAGUUGUGAAAUCCCCGGGCUCAACCUGGGAACUGCAUCUGUGACUGCAUCGCUGGAGUGCGGCAGAGGGGAUGGAAUUCCGGCGUGUAGCAGUGAAAUGCGUAGAUAUGCGGAGGAACACCGAUGGCGAAGGCAAUCCCCUGGGCCUGCACUGACGCUCCAUGCAC
rnacentral:rRNA from 1 species